UACGUAGGGGGCAAGCGUUGUUCGGAAUCAUUGGGCGUAAAGGGCGUGUAGGCGGUUUGUUAAGUCAUGUGUGAAAUCCCUCGGCUCAACCGGGGAACGACGCAUGAAACUGGCAAGCUAGAGUACCAAAGAGGGGGGUGGAAUUCCUGGUGUAGCGGUGAAAUGCGCAGAUAUCAGGAGGAACACCGGUGGCGAAGGCAGCCCCCUGGGUCAAGAUUGACGCUCAUGCACGAAAGCGUGGGGAGCAAACAGG
rnacentral:rRNA from 1 species